AUUAGAGAUGGCAGGGUGCCUUUAAAGGCAGAUCCUUUCAGUGAAUUCCCCUUUCGUGAUGACAGAGUGUUUCUGUUAGCAGUUCUGCUGAUUUUUACACUCUAGUUCUGAUCAAGAGGCACAGAUGAUGGGGUAGUUAAUAACAAAAAUUUUGUCUUGUAUGCUAAGCCUCCUACAACUCAUGGGAAACUUCAGUGAUGCUUAAUUUUUCUGUUGCACUUUUCCCUCAGUAGAUCUCCGUGGGCCUUACUAAGAAGUACAUGUUUUUAUCCUUGUUUUGCAUCUGGAAAAGUGAUGAUGUCCUGAAAGCAAAGUGAACUUAGGUAUGGUCAUCCAUCAGGCAUUUGAUAGCACCAGGAGUAAAAUGCAGAUCUUCAAGAGUCUCAGAGCUGGGAAUUUUGUACCACCUGUGAAUUUUAUGGACAUGCAGGUUCCCAAAAGACACUAUUUCCUGGAAAAUGUUUGUGGGGAUGCUGACUGUCUGUAUGGCCUUUGGGAGAAGGAGGAAAACAUGUUAUCGUUUGAAUAA
rnacentral:lncRNA from 1 species